AAGUCGUAACAAGGUUUCCGUAGGUGAACCUGCGGAAGGAUCAUUAAUGAAAUGAUAAUUUUUUGGGGUUUUCCCUGAAAAAUAAUCCACCAUUUGUGCAUUGUUAUUUAGAUAUACUUUGGUUAGAGCUUUGAUUUCAUUUAUUGGAAUCAACUUCUUGCUGACUCUAUCCUUUCUGAGGACAGUUGGCUAUGAAGCGGCCUACCAAGGUUUUUUAUCAAACAUAUUUAAUCCAACUGACCUAAAAACAAAUAAUUAAAUCAUAACUUUCAACAACGGAUCUCUUGGCUCUC
rnacentral:misc_RNA from 1 species